GAUGAACGCUGGCGGCGUGCCUAACACAUGCAAGUCGAGCGAUUCUCUUCGGAGAAGAGCGGCGGACGGGUGAGUAACGCGUGGGUAACCUGCCCUGUACACACGGAUAACAUACCGAAAGGUAUGCUAAUACGAGAUAAUAUGCUUUUGUCGCAUGGUAGAAGUAUCAAAGCUCCGGCGGUACAGGAUGGACCCGCGUCUGAUUAGCUAGUUGGUAAGGUAACGGCUUACCAAGGCGACGAUCAGUAGCCGACCUGAGAGGGUGAUCGGCCACGUUGGAACUGAGACACGGUCCAAACUCCUACGGGAGGCAGCAGUGGGGAAUAUUGCACAAUGGGCGAAAGCCUGAUGCAGCAACGCCGCGUGAGCGAUGAAGGCCUUCGGGUCGUAAAGCUCUGUCCUCAAGGAAGAUAAUGACGGUACUUGAGGAGGAAGCCCCGGCUAACUACGUGCCAGCAGCCGCAGUAA
rnacentral:rRNA from 1 species